AGGGGACCUCCGUGGUCGAUGGCGAGCCGUGCCCCCUGAUCGCGUUGUCGGCCGGCGAAAAUGGAAAUGAACCGAAACGCGGGAUGUUGCGAGUAGCCAUCGCCGAAGGUCCCUGCAGACGUUAAAAAAUUAAUACGGAGAUCCCGAGAGGUUUCCACUGGAUAUGGUCCGUAAAUAUUAAAAUAUUGCCCAGCUUCGCUCGUUUCGUUACGUCGUAUUACCGAUAUUACGUCGUAUCUUCACAAAAACACGGAACGUAAGAGGAAGAUAGAAAGUCUAGCACGUAUAGUAAAAUUACGUGCGAGUUUACGCUGCAAUCGACAAAUUGACACAAGUAUAACGGCUCAUCGAUCCUUCCAGAAAUUUGAUCUUCUUCACCCUUCUUAAAAAUUUAACCCUCUCCGAGAAGCUUAGAUCUAAUGUAAUUCUCAACCCUUCAAAUAUCAGAGUUCACGCUCUUUUAAAGGAAAAGCAAAAGGUUAUCGUCGGGGUUGGUAUUCACAGUCGAGACUCAGCGGAGGGAUCCAACAACGUGUUCUUUGAAGCGCCAUUUGCGAAACGUUGCUUUUCCGAGUCUUCCAAGAUAAAUAAAUCAGUUCAGCCUUGGGAUCGUGUUUGAGGAAAGGAAAGCGAGGGAAGCAGAAGUUCAGGCGGUAUGUACCUAUCGUCGAGAGCUAUCUUUAAGUUCGCCCGACCACGCCGAAUUCGUCUCGAGACUACAAUACGGAACACUUCCCGGCGUCGUCAAACGCCAAAUAUGAACCGCCCGAACAUUUUUGUACACCGUUUAUUUUUAACAUUUACAAUCAACAUCUCUUUUGUUUUGUCAAUUAUACACGUAUAAUGUCAUAUAAUACAGUAACGCUUCUGCAAUACAUAUACAUGGAUAUAAUCCUCCGGGUGGGGAUGGGGGAGGAAGGGGGAGAGCGGGUAAAUCGGAGGGGGCGAGGGCACUUUGCUUUUUACAUAAUUGAUAAGUUACUUCUACAUAAUUAGGUAAGUCACCCCAUGCGUUUGGGACGCGCAACAUUAAGUACGCAACAUUUUUUUUGGUCUCCAAAGCGGGAAAGCGAUCGACGAUCUCGGUUUCGGUUGACGAGGAUUCGUCCUCGCUAAUUCUUAUUCGGACUACCUCGCGACUUUGCUUUUUCCGUGACCUCCACACGUUUUUCGCACGGCACGGACUGGCCGUCGAUUCGCGAUUUUAUUCUGCGGCGAAGACGACGUCGCUCUGACGGGGCAAAAUGGACCUUUGGCAAUCUCCUUGAGACUAAAUUGAUAAAAUAGAUUUUCUUUGAAUUAAAAGGUAUGUCGAUGGCAAGAUGGAAAUUUGAAAAUAGCUGGGGCGUAUAAAGUAGAUAUCCGAUAAAAUUGUAAUUUGUAUUCUAAGGAACGAACAGGCUUUUAUGUUGAGAAAAAGAAGUACGCGGUGUGAUCCGAAAAAAGCUUUGGUUUUAUACCUCAGUCAUUUAAAUCGCGAUUCAAAUUCGUAAAUUCAAAUAAUCUAUAAGAUCCAAAUAGCAAGGUAAUGUCUUAUUGACGUUAGAGACGUUAUUUGAUGUCACCUUGCUACUUGAGGACCGACAUUUGCUAAUAAAAUUUCCAAAAUUCGAGUCUCUCGGCGCGAAGUUGCGCGCAUAAAGAUCAAGGACAUACUCGCGGUUGGAAAAGUGGCACGAAUAGUCCCCUUUCAUCCCGCCCCGAGAGCGACGAACGUGUUCGCCCCAAAGGAUAUAUGUUGUAUAUACAUAUCUCAUAUAGUCUUAUCUUAUUACGCGCUUUCUCCUCUCCGCGACUAAUUAUCUAAUAUACGAUAGAGAGCACACUUUAUGAUAUGUAUAGGUUUCUCGUUGCGUCGCCGAUUACAACGUACGUUGAUAUGUAGAUGAUACGUGGCCGUCUUAUGAGAGCAUUUUCUCAUAAGCUUUAUAACGUCUACUAGUUUUCUCCCGCGCGUUCUCGACACGCGGCACCUCCACUCUUUGAAUCCUUAAAUUCGUAUAUAAAAGAAACGACCUGGAGUCGACCUCGAAGCACAAAUAUCUAUCGAGAUAAGCAAAUUCAUUAUGACGAAACAAUCGAAACGAAGUGUAGAUGAAUGACCGAUAAAUUGCUGAAAAUCCACAAUUUCCUCCUAUCUCAAUUUCCUGAGUGUAAACAUCGAAGAAAACGCGCGAAUACGAGAACGCAGAAGAGCGAAGGAAAUCAAAGACUUACGUUUCAGAUUUAUCAUGUAAUUACGUCUUAACUAUUCCCAUUUAAAAACGUCAGAACUUGAAGAUUCGUCCCGCGGGCUCAACAAUUUAAAUCCAAGACGAAUAAAAAAACUCGAGAGCCCAUUAAAGUCCUCCUUACCGUUCAUUUAAAUCGCGGAGAAAUGAAGAGACGUGAAAAUUCCGUAUAUACCACACAGUAAUCGUUUAAAACGGGUCAAGACGGGCUGUCUCUCCACUUCGAACUCGCCGGAAAACUCCGACGAGUGGUGUGUCGAAAGGAGGGAAACGCGCGCGCUGCGUAGAAAAAUAAUUCGCGGAUACUUUCGUUCGUGAUACUUUCGUAUAUUCCUGGCGCGCGAGAAGCGAGACCGGCGAUCUUCGCACGCGGCUCAUUGUAUCGCGAUACUUUCGUGCUUCGGCAGGAAUAUAAUAAGGAUAAUAAUCCCGCGCGCGCGCGCGCAAGAACAUCUCGUUGUCCACGAGCGUCACGGAUUAGCCAGCCGGCGCGCUCGUCAUCGUCUCUAAUAUCCGAGUGAAAGUACACGCGGAGCUCUUAGCGACGGACGGACGAACGAACGGAAAUACACACGGGAGAUGCACGGUACCGCGCGGCGAGAGAGGAUCCACGAUGCUCGGAUCGCGCGCGCGAAUGCUAUAUCCCUUCCCCUCCUUCGCAGUCACCGUAUCGCGUACAGCGAGCGCGUACAGGCAUCGGGCUUCUCGCGUUUCGAAUCGUGCCGUCGCGUCGCACGCUCGUAAUUUCACCUGCGAGCGGCGUCUUCGACUUAACGAGCGGAUAAUAUGACCGGCGCGCUGCAGCGGGAAACCGCGGCUAGGCCACUUCCGGCAAAUCGCCAAGGAUCCGUAAAACCCCUCCCCCUACCUCCGCCCCGUAUGGUCGAGGGGGGUAUUUUCGAUUCCGCUGGAGAACACCGCGGAAGAGAGGCUCGUGAACGAAGGAGAUGCGCACGUGAUCUUGAAUGCAGAACGAAGUGACAAGCGCGAUUCGAAGCCGAGUCUUGCCUCGGAAAGAAAUCCGAUCCGUAAAACAGUUUCCGGAAAGUGAGAAGAAAAGAUGAACACGUUCGUAUAAUUUCUUUCCAACUGAAAUUCUUGCUUCAAAAUGAAACAAACGCUUUGCGAAAGUGACACACGCACACGCACGCACACAUACGCACGCGCAUCCAUACACACUCACAUACGCGCAAAGAGAUAAUAUUUUAAAUGACUUUAAUGCUUUAGAAUAUUACAUCAGGGACUUCGGUCGUGUGCAGAUCGCUGCGUCUCGUUGAAGUAUAAGAAGCCCUUUUAAAAAUUCCUGACAUUUGGACU